rnacentral:rRNA from 1 species
GAUGAACGCUGGCGGCGUGCCUAAUACAUGCAAGUCGAGCGAACAGACGAGGAGCUUGCUCCUUUGACGUUAGCGGCGGACGGGUGAGUAACACGUAGGUAACCUACCUAUAAGACUGGGAUAACUUCGGGAAACCGGAGCUAAUACCGGAUAAUAUUUCGAACCGCAUGGUUCGAUAGUGAAAGAUGGCUUUGCUAUCACUUAUAGAUGGACCUGCGCCAUAUUAGCUAGUUGGUAAGGUAACGGCUUACCAAGGCAACGAUACGUAGCCGACCUGAGAGGGUGAUCGGCCACACUGGAACUGAGACACGGUCCAGACUCCUACGGGAGGCAGCAGUAGGGAAUCUUCCGCAAUGGGCGAAAGCCUGACGGAGCAACGCCGCGUGAGUGAUGAAGGUCUUCGGAUCGUAAAACUCUGUUAUUAGGGAAGAACAAACGUGUAAGUAACUGUGCACGUCUUGACGGUACCUAAUCAGAAAGCCACGGCUAACUACGUG